rnacentral:rRNA from 1 species
AACGAACGCUGGCGGCAUGCCUAACACAUGCAAGUCGAACGAGAACAUCGGGUCUAGUGGCGUCCGGGUUCGUAACGCGUGGGAACAUGCACUUAGGGUCGGAAUAACUCCACGAAAGGGGUGAUAAUACCGGAUAAUGUCUUCGGCCCAAAGAUUUAUCGCACUUGGAUGGGCAGUCGUUGGAUUAGCUAGUUGGGAUGGUAAAAGCAUAACAAGGCGACAAUCCAUAGAUGGUCAGAGAGGCUGGUCAGCCACACUGGGACGAGGACACGGCCCAGACUCCUACGGGAGGCAGGAGUGGGUGAUGUUGGACAAUGGGCGAAAUCCUGAUCCAGCUAUGCCGCGUGAGUUAUGAAAGCCUUAGGGUUGUAAAGCUCAUUUACCCAUGAUCAUAAUGACAGUACCUAGUGAAAAAGCUCCGGCUAACUCCGUG